rnacentral:rRNA from 1 species
UACGGAGGGGGCUAGCGUUGUUCGGAAUUACUGGGCGUAAAGCGCACGUAGGCGGCUUUGUAAGUUAGAGGUGAAAGCCCCGGGCUCAACCUGGGAACUGCAUUUGAGACUGCUCUGCUCGGGUGCGGAAGAGGGAAGCGGAAUUUCCGGUGUAGCGGUGAAAUGCGUAGAUAUCGGAAGGAACACCAGUGGCGAAAGCGGCUUCCUGGUCCGACACCGACGUUCAGGCACGAAAGCGUGGGGAGCAAACAGG